ACGCGUGGAACCUUACCAGGUCUUGACAUCCCAUUGACCGCUAUGGAGACAUAGCUUUCCUUUCGGGGACAGUGGUGACAGGUGGUGCAUGGUUGUCGUCAGCUCGUGUCGUGAGAUGUUGGGUUAAGUCCCGCAACGAGCGCAACCCUUGUUCUUAGUUGCCAUCAUUUAGUUGGGCACUCUAAGGAGACUGCCGGUGACAAACCGGAGGAAGGUGGGGAUGACGUCAAAUCAUCAUGCCCCUUAUGACCUGGGCUACACACGUGCUACAAUGGACGGUACAAACGGUUGCCAACCCGCGAGGGGGAGCUAAUCCGAUAAAACCGUUCUCAGUUCGGAUUGUAGGCUGCAACUCGCCUACAUGAAGCCGGAAUCGCUAGUAAUCGCGGAUCAGCAUGCCGCGGUGAAUACGUUCCCGGGCCUUGUACACACCGCCCGU
rnacentral:rRNA from 1 species